AUUGAACGCUGGCGGCAGGCCUAACACAUGCAAGUCGAGCGGACGAAGGGAGCUUGCUCCUGGAUUCAGCUGCCGACGGGUGAGUAAUGCCUAGGAAUCUGCCUGGUAGAUGGGGCUAACGUCCGGACACGGGCGCUAAUACCGCAUACGUCCUUAGGGAGAAAGUGGGGGAUCUUCAGACCUCGCGCUAUCAGCUGAGACUAGGUCGGAUUAGCUAGUUGGUGGGGUAAGGGCCUACCAAGGCGACGAUCCGUAACUGGUCUGAGAGGAUGAUCAGUCACACUGGAACUGAGACACGGUCCAGACUCCUACGGGAGGCAGCAGUAGGGAAUAUUGGACAAUGGGCGAAAGCCUGAUCCAGCCAUGCCGCGUGUGUGAAGAAGGUCUUCGGAUUGUAAAACACUUUAAGUUGGGAGGAAGGGCAGUAAGUUAAUACCUUGCUGUUUUGACGUUACCAACAGAAUAAGCACCGGCUAACUUCGUG
rnacentral:rRNA from 1 species